UUAGAGUGCACUUACAAUGAAUGAUGGCAAACUCCGCCAGGUCUGGAAGGAAGCAACGGUAGUCAUUUUUUCAUGUGUUGGUUGUUAUUCUGAGUG
rnacentral:SRP_RNA from 1 species